rnacentral:rRNA from 1 species
UGGGGAAUAUUGGACAAUGGGGGGAACCCUGAUCCAGCCAUGCCGCGUGUGUGAAGAAGGCCUUAUGGUUGUAAAGCACUUUAAGCGAGGAGGAGGGUACUGGUAUUAAUACUACCAGCUACUGGACGUUACUCGCAGAAUAAGCACCGGCUAACUCUGUGCCAGCAGCCGCGGUAAUACAGAGGGUGCGAGCGUUAAUCGGAUUUACUGGGCGUAAAGCGUGCGUAGGCGGCUAAUUGAGUCGGAUGUGAAAUCCCCGAGCUUAACUUGGGAAUUGCAUUCGAUACUGGUUAGCUGGAGUGUGGGAGAGGAUGGUAGAAUGCCGGGUGUAGCGGUGAAAUGCGUAGAGAUCUGGAGGAAUACCGAUGGCGAAGGCAGCCAUCUGGCAUAACACUGACGCUGAGGUACGAAAGCAUGGGGAGCAAACAGG